UACAGAGGUCUCAAGCGUUUGUUCGGAUUCAUUGGGCGUAAAGGGUGCGUAGGCGGCGCGGUAAGUCGGGGUGUGAAAUCUCGGAGCUUUAACUCCGAAACUGCAUUCGAUACUGCCGUGCUUGAGGACUGGAGAGGAGACUGGAAUUUACGGUGUAGCGGUGAAAAUGCGUAGAUAUCGGGGAGGAACACCCUGUGGCGAAGGGCGGACCCCC
rnacentral:rRNA from 1 species